GAUAACCAGAAGGGGAGGGUCAGAGGGUGAAGCAGAUUCCCAGCUGAGCAGGGAGCUCAAUGCAGGACUCAAUCCUAGGACACUGGGACCAUGACCCAGCUGAAGGCAGAUUCCCAACAACUGAGCCACCCAGGCGCCCCAAGCAUGGCACAUGCUUACUUCAUUCCUCCCAGUGUGGACAUCAUUGUCCUGAAAGACACCUGUGCAGGAAGCCCUCCUUGAUCCUCUCUAAUGGGGUCAGGAUGCCUGGCCUUGGGACACACUGCAUUUUUGCCCAUAGCGUUCACUGCAGUGUGAAAGCAAUGAUUUUUUAAACUUAGUAACCUACGCACACAAGACUGUGAGCUUCAUGAGAGCAGGGACCUUGCUGCCUAGUUCCUAUGAUGUGUCACCAAGUCUGCUCUACUGAUCGGUCCACAACAGGUGCUUAGUAAAAAUACUGGAUGAAGGAGUGAGUGAAACUCUGGCCAGUGGGACACUAACCUAAGCACACUUGUCGUUGGGGACGUGGGGGCAGGAGCUGGAGGACCACACUUUUGCCAGCAGUUUGCCCCCAACUGGGCCAUGUGCCAGGACUGGUUCCUGAAAAUGAGCACAGUCUCGCUUGAGCAAGUACCUGGGCCAUUCCUGAGUCCUCUCCUGAAUGUCAAGAGCCUUUGUCCCUGGGGCAGUCUUCCCCACUUGUCCUGUCUCCACACCACCCUCACCAGGACAGUAAAGGACUCAUAUGACUGGCCUGGGUCCUGGGGGAAGGGCAGCAGGAGCAAGGAACACACCCCCCAAAGCCACUAUUGAAAUUAGAAGGUAGAAGGGUGUAGAAAACAAGAUGGAGUCACUCAUGUCAAGCAGGGUCCUGUGCAGAGUAAUGAUGCCAGCUGCUAAGGGAACCUCGGCUGUGAGAUAUCGCCAGGUCCAGCCCCAGCUGACCACACACCCGAGCUGAUAGCAAGCAGGAGCAGAGCAGGUGUGCGGCAGUCCAGGACUGAUAAACCCCUUUCAAUGGCAAAGGAUGUUGGCAGCAAACUGUCAGACUCUUCAGCCAUGAACCCCUCUCUGUCUGCCCACUGAAAAAAAGGCAGACACCACCCAACAAUCUGCUCGACAAUCUCCCAACAGAACUGAGAUCCUUCCCGGUUUGAACAGAAUAAGGAGAAGCAGUAAGUGCUGAGAGCUGACCAGGACUAAACCCAGGUCUCUUCUCAACAGUGCUCGCAGACUGACUUCACAUUUUUUCUUUUUUUUUUUUUCUUUCCUUCCUUAACUUCCUCCCCCCUCUGUCAUCUUAUUGGUUGUGUGACUUGUGUAGUGUUCUGCUCUGCGUGCUGUGUAAGAAGCCAAGUCAAUCAUGUGGUGAAAUGUCAUUGACUUUGAAAUCCUGAACCUGCUUUGUAAUUAUGUGAACCUGGCUUUAGGACUGAAUAAAGCUGACAUUGUGGAAAAGACAUAUCUCGUGUGUGUGUGUGUGUGUGUGUGUGUGUGUGUGUGUGUGUCUUCAUAGAGUGCUCAUAACAGAGGGAGGGACCUCUGAAAUUAUCAGGCCAGACCUACUCCCUUUACCCUCAGGGAAAAUGAGGCUCAAAGAGGGAUAUCAG
ensembl:lincRNA